UCCUCAAUGUCCACUCCUUUAAGUUCAUCCAGUGGCAUGUGCACUUCUGGCUCUCCAUCGAUUUCAUCAUCCAUGUCAUAGCACCAAUUGUUUUGAGGGUGAUUGUUCAAUGCUUCGAACAAUUGAUCCAUCUGAUUCUGCAGCUUUUGAAUUGACCUUUCUUGCUUAAUCAUCUUCUCCUCAGUUGAUGCUACAAACGUUAACCACAAUUCCUUCAACUCUGAAUUGUCUUCUUGUUGCAUUGGAGGUGGAUUUGAGAAAUUCGAUGGAUAUGUUGGGCUUGGAACACAGUCUUGGUCUUGAUAGUUACAAUUCCAUUCAUAAUCUGGGUGAUACCCCCAACCUUGAUGAUAAUUAGGAUAAACAUUGUUGUUGAGGUAAUCACCCCCAAACUAUACUUGUCCAACUCUGAUGUCGCACUGAUAACUCGGAUGCUCGCCAGCACAAUAUUCACAUAUAACUGUUAUCUCUCGAGUGCGUUGGGCUGCAAGAACAUCCAACCUCUCCGAAAGUUCUGCAAUCUGUGCUGACAAUGUAGAAAAUACAUUGAGUCCUUCAGUUCUUGUGUCCCUUGGUUGAAUCCUAUUUGUAUAAAGCCAUUGAUAAGCAAAGUCAUCCAUGGUACCCUCUAACUGUGCUUGUAAAUUUAUGCGCACUCUCGCUUUCCAACCUCUUUCGUUAAUAUUAUCCUGUGCUGGUAUCAAUUCUGAGUUGGACGAUCGUGUGUGCAUAAAAAUUAUACAAGUACCUGAAACCAAAACAAAAACAAAAAUAGAAAUGAGAAAAGAUUAGAAUUGUCUAAGUCAUACAAUAUAGCUUUAAACUAAUGAUAAUUAUAUAAAUUAACGCCUUUCCCCGACAACGGCGCCAAAAACUUGUUCCCUCUUUUAUAGUUCUAAUAAAAGAGCUCUAACUCAUGCAACCAUACAUGUGUAAACAAGUAAUACAGAAUAAGUAAAUUAUCGAUCCCACAGAGAAAGUUGUUAACCUUAGACUACUAAGCAUUAAUUAACUCACUAUAUUUAUAUGCUAAGACUAUUGACUUAAUUGUUGAUUUGAACUAAUUAUGAUUACCAAAUAAAAAUAAGAAUAUAAAUGGACUAAAUAUAAUAUGCAAACAAUGAGAUCCUAACUUCAUUCAAUAUUUCGUUUAAUCGCCAUAUGUCAUGCAAGAAGUGUUCACAUAUCAUAGGAAGAUAGCCAAGAGCACGAAGAGAGUUAUAACCAUUUUCCAAUGCACUAUAACAAACUCACAUAGCAUCUACAGAUGUUAGACUCUAUGUAAUCACCAAUACCAUCACAAUUACCAUAUUCCUAUGCGCAACUGCAAUCCUAUUGAUUUUAAGCACAACCCUUAUUCUAGCUCAUACGGUGAAACAGUAUAUGCCUAUCUGAUUCACAAAAUAUGCAAGACUUACUCUAGCCCCAUAUUCGCAUGCUAUCAUGAUUACAAUCCAUAUUUAUAUGUUCAUUUCUAAUCCCAUACAAAUACUGAAACGAAUGAUGAUCAAUCAUUCAUACAUGUAAAACAACCAUGAUAGAUAUCCCAUAUGAUAUACAAAACAAAUCUAACAUUUAGAUGUACAACUAAACUACAUAUUAAAAUCCGUUAGAAUCCCAUAAUGGAGUUUAGUUCAUGACUGAACCAAAAGCCAUUAUGGGAUCAAGGCUAAACAUGAUCAAUAAACAAACGAAUGAAAGUAAGAAAGAGAGAACGAUCAAACCCAAUCGCUGAAUAGUAACCAAUGAUUAACAAGUAAAUCCUCAAAGAAAUCCAAUACGCAAUUAUCAAAAUCCACGAUGAUAGAGAAUUCCAAGGAGAAGAAGAGAAAAUAGACGUUAUGGCUUCGUUCUCCGUUGGAAUCUCUCCCAAGGUGUAAACCCUAGUUUCUAAUCAACUCUAGAAAAUACCUACACUAAUCUACUCUAUUCUAUUAUUGAAACUAAAGAGAGAAGAUAAUAGUAGCUUCAGCCCCCAAGGGGUGGAAUAUGUCUUACAUGAUGAGAAUAUGUUUAAUAUAUAAGCCCUAAUUGAAUCCCCCACUCAAUCACGCUUCAAUUGUACUGUUUAGUGAAAAGUCAGCUAUGGUCAUCGCCCGAAGUCGCGCGGCCGCGCAGAAGUUGGCCUGAAGGGUCACGUGGGUGCGCAACUUGCAGAAAAUCGCGUUUUUACUCCAGGGUCGCGCGCGGCCGCGCACAAAUUCGAGCGCCAGUACGGUCCAUUUUUCUGCUGCAGUGUCCUCUGGUAAAAUAGCCAUAACUUUUGAUCCGGGAAGAGUUACAGGUCAUGCCACCUAUCAAAUUGAAGAUAUCAAUGAGCCCUACAACUUUCAUUCUUUGAUGAUUGAGAAAUUCUGGCCGGCUAAAGGUUGAAAUUGGGCUGGAAGGGACUACUAUGAAAAUGGCGAACCAAAACAGCGAAGUUUGACGUCCGUUGGUACAACGAUCAUAACUCUUGCAUCCGAACUCCGAUUAGAGUGAUUCAAGAUGUUCCGGAAAGCUAUAAAGACGCUCUACACUGUAAGCUAAGUUCCAAACCAACACAUGAAGUAAACACGAAAGUCCAAAUGAUGUCCGGAUUGCCUUUUCUUUGCAUUCUCUUUGCUUUUCAUUACCAAUAAUCACUCACACCGCUCCCAAACAUAAUACCUUCAAAAUAAACACAAAAUGCAUGAAAAGUAACUAAGACACAUGAAUAUAAGCAACUAAUUCAAGUAAAAGAUACCGGAUAAGUGUAUAAAAAAUCCACUUAUCACUCACCUCCCUAAACUCAUAUAAACAAUGUUUGCAAGUAAAAGCACUUAACUGCACAAAAUUUGAUCCUCAGACAUUAUGCAAAUUUAAGUAAUUAGCAGUGCAUUAAUGUUGAACUUUAAGUUUUUUAGUAGUGAGCCUUCAAAUAUGGCAAGUAUGAUAUCCAGGACAUUAAUCUUGCCAAGCAAUAAAUGACAAACUUAAACAAGCUUAUAAAGCAAGAAAAAUAAAUAAUCUCAGAAGGAACAGAGAAAAUUUUAAACCCGCCUGAUGUUUCUUAAUUUUUUUUAGUUUCAAAUUUGACUCACUCACAUUAUCAUUACAUUAGUUAUUCAAGGCGCACCCAAUAGUUGCAAGUUAAUACGAACUAAUAUAAUGAUGAAAGAUAGAAAAUGAGACCCAAAGGCAAAAGGCUUGAUGAAUGGACAUAACAACUAAAACAAGGGUACAGGAGAAAACGAUAAUCACUUUAAUAGCACAAUCUUCAUUCAGUUCAAGCUCAAAUUGUUCCCCUAAAAACUAGCAGGACAAAUUUGAGUACAUAGUAUGUUUAUAGUAAUGUAAUGGUUUGGAGUUGUGUAUAGAAACUAGCCCUGCCCUUCCAAUUUACAAAAUAAAUUAUUUAAUCCUCUUGUUAUGGCUGUCAGUGUUCACAAAGUCCUACACUACAGCUCAUGUUAGUUUUAACACCCUAUGCUUUACACUCUACAGGUAUAAAAAUAAAUAAUCCCCCCCAAAAAAAUGUAUAAGUAACCAUCAAAAGAACCGAUUUUACCUCAAAGAGGUUCUAAUUUUACUCUAAAACAAUGGAAAUUGGACCGCUAGAGAUGCUGCCAUCGAAGUCAGACCAAAAUAAAAACCUAAAAAUACAAUUGUAACAGAGGAAAAUAGUUAAACCCUUACCGAAUCGAAGUCAAAAUCAAGGUUUUGGUCUGAGUCGAAGUCGAUUUGAAUUGAAAUAGGAGAUGCCAAGUGUCGAUUUGUUCAACCUAGAUGCUGAAUUAUGAAAUAGGUGAAUCGUGAUUUGGACUGAAAUAGGUGAAUUGUGAUUUGUAAUGAAAUAAGUGAAAUAGAUGUCGAUUUGGACUAAAAUGGGUGAAUUGUGAUUUGGGGGUUUUUUUUUUUUAUCGAUUUUGGGUUUUGUAGAGAGAAAUUUCAGGAUUUCUUGGAGCUUAUUUUGUUUUAAAGAGAGAAAAUGCG
rnacentral:lncRNA from 1 species